CGUGUAGGCGGAGAAGUAAGUCGGGCGUGAAAUCCCCAGGCUCAACCUGGGAACUGCACUCGAAACUACUUCCCUUGAGUGUCGGAGAGGAAAGCGGAAUACCUGGUGUAGAGGUGAAAUUCGUAGAUAUCAGGUGGAACACCAGUGGCGAAGGCGGCUUUCUGGACGAUAACUGACGCUGAGACGCGAAAGCGUGGGGAGGCAAAACA
rnacentral:rRNA from 1 species